AGAGUUUGAUCAUGGCUCAGGACGAACGCUGGCGGCGUGCCUAACACAUGCAAGUCGAACGAGUCCACCUUCGGGUGAGGCGAGUGGCGGACGGGUGAGUAACACGUGAGCAACCUGUCUCUGUGUGGGGGAUAACCCGGGGAAACCCGGGCUAAUACCGCAUGGGCAGGACCCUCGAGUGAGGGACCUGGGAAAGAUGGCCUCUUGACAAUGCUGUCAUGCAGGGAGGGGCUCGCGGGCUAUCAGCUAGCUGGUGAGGUAAUGGCUCACCAGGGCGACGACGGCUAGGGGGUCUGAGAGGACGACCCCCCACAUUGGAACUGAGACACGGUCCAGACUCCUACGGGAGGCAGCAGUGGGGAAUUUUGGGCAAUGGCCGCAAGGCUGACCCAGCGACGCCGCGUGCGGGAGGACGCCCUUCGGGGUGUAAACCGCUGUCAGGGGGGACGAAUCCCCGGAGUGGGAAUACUGCUUCGGGUUGACGGUACCCCCAAAGGAAGCGCCGGCUAACUCCGUGCCAGCAGCCGCGGUAAGACGGAGGGCGCGAGCGUUGUUCGGAAUCACUGGGCGUAAAGCGCGCGCAGGCGGGACGAGCAAGUCGGAAGUGAAAUCCCGGGGCCCAACUCCGGGACUGCUUCCGAAACUGCCGGCCUGGAGACCGGUAGAGGUGGGUGGAAUUCCCGGUGUAGCGGUGGAAUGCGUAGAGAUCGGGAAGAACACCUGUGGCGAAGGCGGCCCACUGGGCCGGUUCUGACGCUGAGGCGCGAAAGCGUGGGGAGCAAACAGGAUUAGAUACCCCAGUAGUCC
rnacentral:rRNA from 1 species